UACGGAGGGUGCAAGCGUUAUCCGGAUUCACUGGGUUUAAAGGGUGCGUAGGUGGGCAGGUAAGUCAGUGGUGAAAUCUCCGGGCUUAACCCGGAAACUGCCAUUGAUACUAUUUGUCUUGAAUACUGUGGAGGUCAGCGGAAUAUGUCAUGUAGCGGUGAAAAUGCUUAGAUAUGACAUAGAACACCAAUUGCGAAGGCAGCUGGCUACACAAAUAUUGACACUGAGGCACGAAAAGCGUGGGGAUCAAACAGGG
rnacentral:rRNA from 1 species